CCUUUGCUGAGGAUACGGUUAACGGAGCGCAAGCGACGUUCAACCGCAAAAGAAGCAGAGGGGGCUUAGUGGUGGGGUGACUGCGUACCUUUUGUAUAAUGGGUCAGCGACUUAUAUUCUGUAGCAAGGUUAACCGUAUAGGGGAGCCGGAGGGAAACCGAGUCUUAAUUGGGCGUUAAGUUGCAGGGUAUAGACCCGAAACCCGGUGAUCUAGCCAUGGGCAGGUUGAAGGUUGGGUAACACUAACUGGAGGACCGAACCGACUAAUGUUGAAAAAUUAGCGGAUGACCUGUGGCUGGGGGUGAAAGGCCAAUCAAACCGGGAGAUAGCUGGUUCUCCCCGAAAGCUAUUUAGGUAGCGCCUCGUGAAUUCAUCUCCGGGGGUAGAGCACUGUUUCGGCUAGGGGGCCAUCCCGGCUUACCAACCCGAUGCAAACUGCGAAUACCGGAGAAUGUUAUCACGGGAGACACACGGCGGGUGCUAACGUCCGUCGUGAAGAGGGAAACAACCCAGACCGCCAGCUAAGGUCCCAAAGUCAUGGUUAAGUGGGAAACGAUGUGGGAAGGCCCAGACAGCCAGGAUGUUGGCUUAGAAGCAGCCAUCAUUUAAAGAAAGCGUAAUAGCUCACUGGUCGAGUCGGCCUGCGCGGAAGAUGUAACGGGGCUAAACCAU
rnacentral:rRNA from 1 species